GUGGGGAAUUUUGGACAAUGGGCGCAAGCCUGAUCCAGCAAUGCCGCGUGCAGGAAGAAGGCCUUCGGGUUGUAAACUGCUUUUGUACGGAACGAAACGGCUCUGGUUAAUACCCGGGGCUAAUGACGGUACCGUAAGAAUAAGCACCGGCUAACUACGUGCCAGCAGCCGCGGUAAUACGUAGGGUGCAAGCGUUAAUCGGAAUUACUGGGCGUAAAGCGUGCGCAGGCGGUUGUGUAAGACAGGCGUGAAAUCCCCGGGCUCAACCUGGGAAUUGCGCUUGUGACUGCACAGCUGGAGUGCGGCAGAGGGGGAUGGAAUUCCGCGUGUAGCAGUGAAAUGCGUAGAUAUGCGGAGGAACACCGAUGGCGAAGGCAAUCCCCUGGGCCUGCACUGACGCUCAUGCACGUAAGCGUGGGGAGCAAACAGGAUUAGAUACCCUUGUAGUCC
rnacentral:rRNA from 1 species